rnacentral:tRNA from 1 species
GCAGGAAUAGCUCAGUGGUAGAAUGCUUUCUUGCCUAGCAUGCAUGAGGUCCUGGGUUUGAUCCCCAGUACUACA